UCCNGAUGUUUCGUUCCAGGUGCAGCAGC
rnacentral:piRNA from 1 species